ACUUAGCCCAAAUUCUAGAAAUAUUAUCCACCUCCUUAAAAUAAAAAUCUAGAUAUUCUUAUAGAAUUAUCUAGAUAAUUAAGAUAAAAUAAUCUAGAUUUUUAAAUAGAAUUCUCUAGAUUUAAUAUUAAAAUAUGUAAGAUAUUUUGUACUUUGGAGACUAUAAAUACCUCCACUCUCUUUUCAUUUUGUAUCAUCAAGAAAUAAUCAAGUUUCUAACAAACUUUCAAGUAAUAAUAAAUCAUCUUCUCAAUUAUAAAAAGCUUUCUUCUUCACACAAAACACUUUCUCUUCAAACACUUAAACACAAUCUCCAUCUCUACAAAGUUUUUCUUCCAACACAAUGUAUAUACGAAAUGAAAACUAGUUAGGAUCUGGCACAAGUCGGACUAGACCAAGGUAAUCUGUAUACAUCAUUGCACUUCCACUUGACACCUAUCGAACUCAUGAAAUUAUGAAGUGGUUUGAAAGCUUCAUUCAUGAACUCCAUACCUUGAUUAGAAAGCUACCAAUUAGGUUUGAGAGAUCAAACAUAAACGGCCCAUGGACUGAUGCC
rnacentral:lncRNA from 1 species